ACGGAAGGCAGCAGUGGGGAAUAUUGCACAAUGGGCGCAAGCCUGAUGCAGCGAUGCCGCGUGAGGGAAGAAGGUUUUCGGAUUGUAAACCUCUGUCAACAGGGACGAAAAUGACGGUACCUGUGAAGGAAGCUCCGGCUAACUACGUGCCAGCAGCCGCGGUAAUACGUAGGGAGCAAGCGUUAUCCGGAAUUACUGGGUGUAAAGGGAGUGUAGGCGGGACUGUAAGUCAGAUGUGAAAUCCCCGGGCUUAACCCGGGAACUGCAUUUGAAACUGUAGUUCUUGAGUAUCGGAGAGGCAAGCGGAAUUCCUAGUGUAGCGGUGAAAUGCGUAGAUAUUAGGAGGAACACCAGUGGCGAAGGCGGCUUGCUGGACGACAACUGACGCUGAGGCGCGAAAGCGUGGGGAGCAAACAGGAUUAGAUACCCUGGUA
rnacentral:rRNA from 1 species